AGAUUACUGCUAGUCCAAAUAUGUGGCUUUUGAUUUAAAUCAGCCUUUAUCAUGUCCCUUACACAUUCCAGGGCCAAAUUGAGAGGUCUGACAUAGUGCCCCACAAAGCAUGGUAGAUGUUGAACUGUAAACCCCAUGUGCUCAAGAGUGGAGCAAUUAUAAAUAUUUGUAGACUUUCCAUAAACAGCUGGGAAUUUGGCUAUGCAUAAAGAUUUUUUACUCAGCUAUCCCAUCUCUGGAAUGUGCUUAUUAUGUGAGCAUUCAGACAGUCCUGCAAUCCUCACCUGGUGUUCUUUGCACAGACCAUCUGCCCACCAGAGAUGAUGCAAAGGGAGAUGGUUCAAAACCAAGAAGACUUCCAUUUUGUAGUUCCUCUCUUUAGAAGUAAAAAAGCAGGAGAUGUGCUCCAGCCCUGGGCUCAAGUUAAUGACUCCCUCCUCAACUUGCUCCAACAUGUCUACAUCUUUCUCGUGCUCUGGUUCCCAGUCCUGAACACAGUACUCCAGCUGGGGUCUCACUAGAGCAGAGUACAGGGAGAGAAUCACCUCCUUUGAUGUGCUGGCCACACUGCUUUUGAUGCAGCCCAGGAUGCAGACAGCUUUUUUCACUUCUAGCACACACUGCUGAGUCAUGUCAAGAUUUUCAUGUACCGGCAGCCCUAGGUCUGUCUCCCCAGCCCUAGUCUCUUUCCAUUCUCUGCCCAGCCUAAAGCUGUUUCUGGGACUGCGCCAAACCAAGUGCAGGACCUCACACUUGGCAUUGUUGAACUUCAUCAGGAUGACCUGGGCCCACCUCUCAAGCCUGACAAGGUCCCUCUGGGUGUUAUUCCUUCCCUCCAGUGUGUUGAUCGCAUCACACACCUGAGUGUCAUCAGAGUCAUUAGUGAACUCACUGAGGGUGCACUGAAACCCACUUUCCAUGUCAGCAAUAAAGAUGUUAAAAAGCACCAGUCCAAACACUGAGCCCUGGGGAACACCACUUGGCACUGCUUUCCAUUUGGACAUUGCUCCACUGACUUCAGCACUUUGAGCAUGAUCAUCCAGCCAAUUCUUUAUCCACCCAGUGGCCCACUCAUCAGAUCCACGUCUCUCCAUUUUAGAGACAUAGAUGUCCUGUGGGACAGUGCCCUUGUUCAAGUCCAGGGAGAUGAUGCCUGUUGCCCUUCCCUCAUCCACCACUGCUGUAACCCUAUCAUAGGAGGCCAAGAAAUUUGUCAGGCAUGAUUCAACUUUAGUCAUGCCAUAUUGGCUGUUACCAGUCAUCUCAUUAUGUUCCUUGUGCCUUAGCAGAGUUUCCAGGAGGAGCUUCUCCAUGAUCUUGCCAGACACUGGCGGGAGACUGACUGACCUGUCGUUCCCUGGUUCUUCCUUAUCUCCCUUUUUAAAAAUGGGCAUUAUGUUUCCCUUUUUCAAGGCAGUGGGAACUCCACCAGAUUGCCAUGACUUCUCAAAUAUGUUGGAUAGUGGCAUAGCCACUUCCUCAGCCAGUUCUUUCAGUACCCAUGGUAGUAUCUUGUCAGGUCCCAUGGACUUGUACACCUUCAGGUUCCUUAAACGGGUUUGAACUUGGUCUUUUCCUGCAAUGGGUGGAGAAGAAAAAUGGAACAACUUAGUUUAUUCUUAAUACAGAGCAAGAAUCAAGCCAAAGGGAACACAAGGGCCACAAUUUGAGCAAGAACAUAUUUUUCCCUUUGAGAAUAAGCAAUUCAGACAAAGAAAAAGGCU